GAUGAACGCUGGCGGCAUGCCUAACACAUGCAAGUCGAACGGUAAGGCUCUUCGGAGUACACGAGAGGCGGACGGCUGAGUAACGCGUAGGAACACACCCUGCAGUGAGGGAUAAGACACCGAAAGGUGUUCUAAUACCGCAUACGGUCUUCGGAUUAAAGCAUUUAUGCGCUGAAGGAGUGGCCUGCGUCAUAUUAGAUAGUUGGUGAGGUAAUGGCUCACCAAGUCGAUGAUGUGUAGCUGGUCUGAGAGGAGGAUCAGCCAGACUGGAACUGCGACACGGUCCAGACUCCUACGGGGAGCAGCAGUGAGGAAUAUUUCACAAUGAGCGAAAGCUUGAUGGAGCAAUGCCGCGUGCAGGAUGAAGGCCCUCGGGUUGUAAACUGCUUUUAUAAGAGAAGAUUAUGACGGUAACUUAUGAAUAAGGGACGGCUAACUACGUG
rnacentral:rRNA from 1 species